AACUUUUAGCAAUGGUUCUCUUGGUUCUGGCCUCGAUGAAGAACGCAGCGAAAUGCGAUAAGUAAUGUGAAUUGCAGAAUUCAGUGAAUCAUCGAAUCUUUGAACGCACAUUGCGCCCUGUGGUAUUCCGCAGGGCAUGCCUGUUCGAGCGUCAGUACAACACUCAAGCUCAGCUUGGUCUUGAGCCUAGCCGGUCACGGCGGGCUUUAAAAUUAGUGGCGGUGCCACCUGGCUCUAAGCGUAGUAAUACUCCUCGCUAUUGAGUUCUGGUGGACGCUGGCCAGCAACCCCCAACUUUCUAAGUUUGACCUCGGAUCAGGUAGGGAUACCCGCUGAACUUAAGCAUAUCAAUAAGCGGAGGCU
rnacentral:misc_RNA from 1 species